rnacentral:tRNA from 1 species
AGAUGUUGUGCCGGAUAAUCGGGUCAUCUUGAUGUGGUGAAAUAUGUAGGUGUAAUCCCUUCCAACAUUUA